CGUCCCGUUGACCGACUGGAAAACACACGGAUAGGACAUGGCUGCUGACGCCGCCAGCCAGCUCUGCCAAGUCACAAAGCCGGUGGAAUAUUGGCACAUCCACGCCUGUAACUUCUCGCAAUACUCCGCGGUGGUGCAACUUUCAGGACGCAGACAAGAGGACAGACUGACACACGGUGGAAAUGUCAUAUUUGAAGCCCAGUGGGGUGAGUGCUUGAUGCGGAGCCGCCCAAUCAGGAGCAGGUGCCGCCAUUGCCAUGGUGACAAUAGGGUUAAGAGGCGUGUCUUCAAAUCAAAUUCUGGUGUGAGGGUCUGAAGGGGCCAUGUGGCGUCUUUUGACUUAUUUUCACAAAGUAGCACAUUUACUUCAUGUCAACACAAAAAGAGGCUUUCUUGAUGAUCGUUGAAUAAUCGCGAUGGGCAAAGUAUGGCCUGAGCACACAUACAGCCCACUUUGUUUUUUAAACUAGCCCAUUAAACCAGCAUUUACAGUAUUCCUGUCAUUUUUUAAACGAAUCCCAUUAUACAAUUUGUUGCAUAUUAGUGACAUAAAAAUACAUAUAUCUGUAUAGUGAUCAAUGUUUCAUUUAUUUAUUUUUUUAUAAAUAAUUGAUUGUAACUGAAUUAAAAAAAACGAAAGCAUGAGAUUUAUCCAUCCAAUACGAGUAAAAUAAACUAUACAUUUUACAUUUUA